rnacentral:rRNA from 1 species
GCAAGUCGAGCGCGCCCUUCGGGGUGAGCGGCGGACGGGUGAGUAACGCGUGGGAAUAUGCCCUUUUCUACGGAAUAGCCUUUGGAAACGAAGAGUAAUACCGUAUACGCCCCUCGGGGGAAAGAUUUAUCGGUGAAGGAUUGGCCCGCGUAAGAUUAGAUAGUUGGUGGGGUAACGGCCUACCAAGUCGACGAUCUUUAGCUGGUUUGAGAGGAUGAUC